rnacentral:rRNA from 1 species
AUUGAACGCUGGCGGCAGGCCUAACACAUGCAAGUCGAGCGGAUGAAGGGAGCUUGCUCCUGGAUUCAGCGGCGGACGGGUGAGUAAUGCCUAGGAAUCUGCCUGGUAGUGGGGGAUAACGUCCGGAAACGGGCGCUAAUACCGCAUACGUCCUGAGGGAGAAAGUGGGGGAUCUUCGGACCUCACGCUAUCAGAUGAGCCUAGGUCGGAUUAGCUAGUUGGUGGGGUAAAGGCCUACCAAGGCGACGAUCCGUAACUGGUCUGAGAGGAUGAUCAGUCACACUGGAACUGAGACACGGUCCAGACUCCUACGGUACGCAGCAGUGGGGAAUAUUGGACAAUGGGCGAAAGCCUGAUCCAGCCAUGCCGCGUGUGUGAAGAAGGUCUUCGGAUUGUAAAGCACUUUAAGUUGGGAGGAAGGGCAGUAAGUUAAUACCUUGCUGUUUUGACGUUACCAACAGAAUAAGCACCGGCUAACUUCGUG